UCUUGUAGUUUAUUUAAAACGUUAAGUUGCAAACUUUAAGAAACAUGUUGCGUUGUGAGGACCUU
rnacentral:tRNA from 1 species